rnacentral:lncRNA from 1 species
AUUCUUCACUUCUCUAAACUGAGCAAUGCUUUGCUUAAAACGCCAAUAGCUUUCCUAACAUCUUGGUGUGCUAAUUAUCAAGAGAUGAUGGGCGGAGACUCUUCAAGAUGGGCAGGGGCUUCUGAGUGCAGCAUGAGAGGUAAUGAAGUCUCUAUGAUUCUAGGUAUGCUGGGGUGAAAAGGAUGGGGGUUAAGAGAUCCUUUUCCCAAAUAGGUUGUCACAGAAUUUUGGGGAGAGUUCCCUGUGCUAUACAGUAGGUCCCUGUUGACCAUCAUCUACAUAUACAACAGUGUACAUACACCAAUACAAAACCCCAGAGAUGGGAUUAGGAUGGCAGAAUAGAAGGACUGGAGCUCAACUUCUCUCCUAAAAACAACAAAAUUCACAACUAAAGGCUGAGCACUCUUCACCCAAAUGGACUGGAAACUUUAAAAAAAGAUAUCCUACUCCAGAAGAUAAAGAGAAGGCCACAUCAAGUGGUAGGAGGGGUGAUUUCACAAUAUAAACAACCCUAUGCCUCCCUGGUGGGAAGCUCCACAGACUGAAAAAUAACUGGUUUACAGAGACUCACCUACAGGAGUGGGAGUUCUGAGCCCAACAUCAAACUCUCAUGUGUGGGGAUCUGGCACUGGGAGAAAGAGCCCCUGGAGCAUCUGGCAUUGAAGGCCAGUAGGGCUCAUGUUCAGGAGCUCCACAGGACUGGGGGAAAUGGAGACCCCAUUCUUAAAAGGUGCACACAGACUUUCAAGUGCACUGGGUCCCAUGGCAAAGCAAAGUCUCCAUAGGAAUCUGGGUCAAAUCUGACUGCAGUUCUUGGAGGACAUCCUGGGAAAACAUGGGUGAAUGGGCUUGUUGUGAGGGAAGGACAUUGAAAGCAAAGGUCUCGGGAAUAUUCAGCAGCAUGUCUUUCUCUGGAGGUGGCCAUUUUGGGAAAAUCUGGCCUCACCCAUCAGUCAGCACUGAGAAGCCCAGGGCAAACAAAAAUCCAGGUGGGAUCACAGCCCCACCUCUCAGUAAACAGGCUACCUAAAGACCCAUCAGGCACACAGCUGCCUCUAAUCCCAUCCAGAGACUAAGCCCCACCCACCAGAGGGAUUAGAAUCAGCCCCACUUACCAGGGGGCAGGCAUCAGCCCCUUCCAUCAGGAAGCCUAGAGCAAGCCCCCAUAUGGACUUCAGCCACAAGGGGUGCAGACAUCAGAAGUAAGAGAGGCUACAACUCUAGUAUCUGUAAAAAGGUCACCACACCAAAAACCUAUAAAAAUGAAAAGACAGAGAACUAUAACGCAGAUGAGGGAGAAAGGAAAAACCCCAGAAAAUAAGCUAAGCAAUGAGGAGAUUCUCAGCCUCCAGGAAAAAGAUUUUAGAUUGUUGAUGCUGAAGAUGAUGCAAGACAUUGGAAAUAAACUGGAGGCAAAGAUGGAUAGCUUACAGGAAACACUGACCAAAGAGAUACACAAUAUAAAACUUAAGAAGAGAUGCAAAAUAUAAUAACUGAAAUAAAAAAUUCACUAAAAGCAGCUAACAGCAGAAUACAGGAGGCAGAAGAACAAAUAAAUGAGGUGGAGAACAGAUUAGUGGAAAUUUCGGAUGCA